GCUCGCUAGAUUUGGACCAGAGCUGACAGGUUCUGGAACAUCUUUCAAUAACUAAUGAUGUCCAGCGUUAUUGCUUCAGCAGUAAUUUGACACAAAAGAAAAUGAGGUUGUGAGGGACAGAAAUGCACACUGGUAAGGCCCUGAUAUACAUGAAAAUGAAGAACGAAUGGGGUGUGACAUCAUUACAAACAAAAUCUGGUUUAUCUGGAGUUUGGUUCUGUGUCUCCAAACA